AUUGAACGCUGGCGGCAUGCCUUACACAUGCAAGUCGAACGGUAACAGGUCUUCGGAUGCUGACGAGUGGCGAACGGGUGAGUAAUACAUCGGAACGUGCCUAGUAGUGGGGGAUAACUACUCGAAAGAGUGGCCAAUACCGCCUGAGAUCUACGGAUGAAAGCAGGGGAGCGCAAGACCUUGUGCUACUAGAGCGGCCGAUGGCAGAUGAGGUAGUUGGUGGGAUAAAAGCUUACCAAGCCGACGAUCUGUAGCUGGUCUGAGAGGACGAUCAGCCACACUGGGACUGAGACACGGCCCAGACUCCUACGGGAGGCAGCAGUGGGGAAUUUUGGACAAUGGGCGCAAGCCUGAUCCAGCAAUGCCGCGUGCAGGAUGAAGGCCUUCGGGUUGUAAACUGCUUUUGUACGGAACGAAAAGCCCCGGGUUAAUACCCUGGGGUCAUGACGGUACCGUAAGAAUAAGCACCGGCUAACUACGUGCCAGCCGCCGCGGUAA
rnacentral:rRNA from 1 species